rnacentral:lncRNA from 1 species
GCUAAACUGAGGGAUGGGCAGAGAAGGGCAAACUGUAACUACAGUUUAUUUUAGCUCAUGUUUAAAUACAGGAUAUACUCUGUUUUCCUUCUGUACAGGAGAGGGAACUCUUCACAGAUGGGAAGCAUUUCCUGUGAGCCUGUAAUUGUAUAAGCUGGGAGUAAAGAGGAUGCCCAGGUACACAUUUUUGGCUAUGUUUUUGCUGGUGGUGAUCAUGGAGGUGGCUUUUGUUUCUUUCAGCCAUAAGGCUAGUGAGAAUUUUUUCUCCUAAUUAAAGUAAAUCUGGAGGCAUCAUGCUACCUGACUUCAAACUAUACUACAAGGCUACAGUAACCAAAACAGCAUGGUACCGGUACCAAAACAGAGAUAUAGAUCAAUGGAACAGAACAGAGCCCUCAGAAAUAACACCGCAUAUCUACAACUAUCUGAUCUUUGACAAACCUGAGAAAAACAAGCAAUGGGGAAAGGAUUCCCUAUUUAAUAAAUGGUGCUGGGAAAACUGGCUAGCCAUAUGUAGAAAGCUGAAACUGGAUCCCUUCCUUACACCUUAUACAAAAAUUAAUUCAAGAUGGAUUAAAUACUUAAACGUUAGACCUAAAACCAUAAAAACCGUAGAAGAAAACCUAGGCAUUACCAUUCAGGACAUAGGCAUGGGCAAGGACUUCAUGUCUAAAACACCAAAAGCAAUGGCAACAAAAGCCAAAAUUGACAAAUGGGAUCUAAUUAAACUAAAGAGCUUCUGCACAGCAAAAGAAACUACCAUCAGAGUGAACAGGCAACCUACAAAAUGGGAGAAAAUUUUUGCAACCUACUCAUCUGACAAAGGACUAAUAUCCAGAAUCUACAAUGAAUUCAAACAAAUUUACAAGAAAAAAACAAACAACCCCAUCAAAAAGUGGGCGAAAGACAUGAACAGACACUUCUCAAAAGAAGACAUUUAUGCAGCCAAAAAACACAUGAAAAAAUGCUCACCAUCACUGGCCAUCAGAGAAAUGCAAAUCAAAACCACAAUGAGAUACCAUCUCACACCAGUUAGAAUGGCAGUCAUUAAAAAGUCUGGAAACAACAGGUGCUGGAGAGGAUGUGGAGAAAUAGGAACACUUUUACACUGUUGGUGGGACUGUAAACUAGUUCAACCAUUGUGGAAGUCAGUGUGGCGAUUCCUCAGGGAUCUAGAAUAGAAAUACCAUUUGACCCAGCCAUCCCAUUACU